GACGAACGCUGGCGGCGUGCUUAACACAUGCAAGUGGAGCGACGAACCAGGCUUCGGCCUGGGGCAGAGCCGCGAACGGGUGAGUAACACGUGGGUAACCCACCCCGGUGACCGGGACAACCCGAGGAAACUCGGGCUAAUACCGGAUGUACUGAACUCUCAUAAGGGAGCUUAGGAAAGAUAGCUUCGGCCUUCGCACCGGGACGGGCCCGCGGCGCAUUAGCUUGUUGGUGGGGUAACGGCCUACCAAGGCGACGAUGCGUAGCUGGUCUGAGAGGACGAUCAGCCACACUGGGACUGAGACACGGCCCAGACUCCUACGGGAGGCAGCAGUGGGGAAUCUUGCGCAAUGCGCGAAAGCGUGACGCAGCAACGCCGCGUGGGGGAAGAAGGCCUUCGGGUUGUAAACCCCUUUCAGUUGGGACGAAGCUUCCGCGGUGAAUAGCCGCGUGGAGUGACGGUACCUUCACAAGAAGCCCCGGCUAACUACGUGCCAGCCGCCGCGUAA
rnacentral:rRNA from 1 species